rnacentral:rRNA from 1 species
GCGUGUGUGAUGAAGGCCUUCGGGUUGUAAAACACUUUUAGAUGUGACGAUGAUGACGGUAACAUCAGAAAAAGCUCCGGCUAACUUCGUGCCAGCAGCCGCGGUAAUACGAAGGGAGCGAGCGUUGUUCGGAAUCACUGGGCGUAAAGCGUGCGUAGGCGGUUUUGUAAGUAAGAAGUGAAAGCCUGGGGCUCAACCUCAGAAUUGCUUUUUAGACUGCAAGGCUAGAGUACCGGAGAGGCUAAUGGAAUUCCGAGUGUAGAGGUAAAAUUCGC